AUUGAACGCUGGCGGCAGGCCUAACACAUGCAAGUCGAACGGUAACAGGAAGCAGCUUGCUGCUUUGCUGACGAGUGGCGGACGGGUGAGUAAUGUCUGGGAAACUGCCUGAUGGAGGGGGAUAACUACUGGAAACGGUGGCUAAUACCGCAUAACGUCGCAAGACCAAAGAGGGGGACCUUCGGGCCUCUUGCCAUCAGAUGUGCCCAGAUGGGAUUAGCUUGUUGGUGAGGUAACGGCUCACCAAGGCGACGAUCCCUAGCUGGUCUGAGAGGAUGACCAGCCACACUGGAACUGAGACACGGUCCAGACUCCUACGGGAGGCAGCAGUGGGGAAUAUUGCACAAUGGGCGCAAGCCUGAUGCAGCCAUGCCGCGUGUAUGAAGAAGGCCUUCGGGUUGUAAAGUACUUUCAGCGGGGAGGAAGGUGUUGUGGUUAAUAACCGCAGCAAUUGACGUUACCCGCAGAAGAAGCACCGGCUAACUCCGUGCCAGCAGCCGCGGUAAUACGGAGGGUGCAAGCGUUAAUCGGAAUUACUGGGCGUAAAGCGCACGCAGGCGGUCUGUCAAGUCGGAUGUGAAAUCCCCGGGCUCAACCUGGGAACUGCAUUCGAAACUGGCAGGCUUGAGUCUUGUAGAGGGGGGUAGAAUUCCAGGUGUAGCGGUGAAAUGCGUAGAGAUCUGGAGGAAUACCGGUGGCGAAGGCGGCCCCCUGGACAAAGACUGACGCUCAGGUGCGAAAGCGUGGGGAGCAAACAGGAUUAGAUACCCUGGUAGUCCACGCCGUAAACGAUGUCUNCUUGGAGGUUGUGCCCUUGAGGCGUGGCUUCCGGAGCUAACGCGUUAAGUAGACCGCCUGGGGAGUACGGCCGCAAGGUUAAAACUCAAAUGAAUUGACGGGGGCCCGCACAAGCGGUGGAGCAUGUGGUUUAAUUCGAUGCAACGCGAAGAACCUUACCUGGUCUUGACAUCCACAGAACUUUCCAGAGAUGGAUUGGUGCCUUCGGGAACUGUGAGACAGGUGCUGCAUGGCUGUCGUCAGCUCGUGUUGUGAAAUGUUGGGUUAAGUCCCGCAACGAGCGCAACCCUUAUCCUUUGUUGCCAGCGGUCCGGCCGGGAACUCAAAGGAGACUGCCAGUGAUAAACUGGAGGAAGGUGGGGAUGACGUCAAGUCAUCAUGGCCCUUACGACCAGGGCUACACACGUGCUACAAUGGCGCAUACAAAGAGAAGCGACCUCGCGAGAGCAAGCGGACCUCAUAAAGUGCGUCGUAGUCCGGAUUGGAGUCUGCAACUCGACUCCAUGAAGUCGGAAUCGCUAGUAAUCGUGGAUCAGAAUGCCACGGUGAAUACGUUCCCGGGCCUUGUACACACCGCCCGUCACACCAUGGGAGUGGGUUGCAAAAGAAGUAGGUAGCUUAACCUUCGGGAGGGCGCUUACCACUUUGUGAUUCAUGACUGGGGUGAAG
rnacentral:rRNA from 1 species